rnacentral:rRNA from 1 species
UGGGGAAUCUUCCGCAAUGGACGAAAGUCUGACGGAGCAACGCCGCGUGAGUGAAGACGGCCUUCGGGUUGUAAAGCUCUGUGAUUCGGGACGAAAGGCCAUAUGUGAAUAAUAUAUGGAAAUGACGGUACCGAAAAAGCAAGCCACGGCUAACUACGUGCCAGCAGCCGCGGUAAUACGUAGGUGGCAAGCGUUGUCCGGAAUUAUUGGGCGUAAAGCGCGCGCAGGCGGUCUCUUAAGUCCAUCUUAGAAGUGCGGGGCUUAACCCCGUGAGGGGAUGGAAACUGGGAGACUGGAGUAUCGGAGAGGAAAGUGGAAUUCCUAGUGUAGCGGUGAAAUGCGUAGAUAUUAGGAAGAACACCGGUGGCGAAGGCGACUUUCUGGACGAAAACUGACGCUGAGGCGCGAAAGCGUGGGGAGCAAACAGG